AGUGAACGCUGGCGGUAGGCCUAACACAUGCAAGUCGAACGGCAGCACAGGAGAGCUUGCUCUCUGGGUGGCGAGUGGCGGACGGGUGAGGAAUACAUCGGAAUCUACUCUGUCGUGGGGGAUAACGUAGGGAAACUUACGCUAAUACCGCAUACGACCUACGGGUGAAAGCAGGGGACCUUCGGGCCUUGCGCGAUUGAAUGAGCCGAUGUCGGAUUAGCUAGUUGGCGGGGUAAAGGCCCACCAAGGCGACGAUCCGUAGCUGGUCUGAGAGGAUGAUCAGCCACACUGGAACUGAGACACGGUCCAGACUCCUACGGGAGGCAGCAGUGGGGAAUAUUGGACAAUGGGCGCAAGCCUGAUCCAGCCAUACCGCGUGGGUGAAGAAGGCCUUCGGGUUGUAAGGCACUUUAGUUGGGGAAGAAAAGUAAUAAGUAAAUAAUUUAUUGCUCUGACGGUACCCAAAGAAUAAGCACCGGCUAACUCUGUGCCAGCCGCCGCCGUAA
rnacentral:rRNA from 1 species